CAGGGCGCUCCUUUGGGAAGGGGAGGGGUGAAAGGUCGCCUGUCCCCGGCAACACGGCUCAGGCAAACGUAAGCGGCUUGUCGCAGAAACCGAGGGGGUCCAAGAAGCGCGCUAGGCUGGAAGGCGGGAAGCAGAGAUUACUGACAGCCGUGCCAGCCAAUAAUAUGGAAACCUGAGAAAGGCUCUUCAGGCCCCUUCCCAAUCAGAAAACUUGGGUAUGAGAGAGAGUGAAGGGGCGGGAUGGGAUCUCGGUCCAGCCGGGACUGGAGCAGCGACAAUUUUGGCUAGUCUGAGAAGGGCAUUCGAGUGACCGUUGACAACGUAUGGGACAGCGUCAAGGCUGAGGGAAGAACCUUGACCUCAUGCUUCCAGGACUUCUAGCUAGAUACCCACAGAGAUGCAACAAGAUGUUCAUUAUCUCAAAGCUUCCUGUACUGUCUUCAUCUUAGUCACAACUAAAGGGCCAUACCUGUGGCACACAGAACUUCUUGGACUAGGAGUCAAAUUGGAGCUGCAGUUGCUGGCCUAUGUCACAGCCUUAGCCAUGGCAAUAUUAGAUCCAAGCCACAUCUGAGACCUACACUGCAUGCUGCAGCAACGCCAGAUCCUUAAACCAAUGAGCAAUGCCAGGGAUCGAAGCCGCAUUCUCAUGGAUGCUAUGUUGGGUUCUUAACCUGCUACGCUACAAUGGGAACUCCCAAAGCUUUGAUUUUUAACCUCUAAAAUUUUAGAGGUUGUUCUGGCUCAUUAUGACUGUUAUAGUAUUACUAAGUAAAGUUGAAUGUGCCUGUAUUUAUUAGUCAGCAAUUCAAGUAAUUGGAAUUUGGCCUGUUGACUCUGCAUGAACAAACCAUUUAGAAGAAUGCUUUACAAGAGUCUUUCAGCAGUAGCAAAAUACUGGAAAAAAAUGGACUAUCUAGCAGAGAAAAUUAAUGAAACAGAGCCAAAUAUAUCAAUAUAGAUAAAUCUCAGAAUAUAUUGUUCAGUGUAAGAAGUAAGUGAGGAUAGAUAACAGUAAGAUUCCAUUUAUGUUAAGUGGAAAGUGUGAAGAGUUCAUGAAAGUUGUAUAUUGUGUUAGAAUUCAUACAUAAAUUGUAAAAAUAUAGAGAAACCUAGGAAAUGAUUAAUAGAAAAUUCAGGAGAGUGGUUUUUCUCUGCAUAGUGGGAGAGAAAGAAAAAUGUAUGCAAGGAGAUGCAAUUGAGGGCUUUUGACUGGUAAUAUUUUAUUUCCUAACUUGCGUGAUGGAUAGAUGGGUGUUGAUGUUACUAUUAUACUAUAAUCUCUCCUUCUACAUUUUGUUUACUCUUUCCACAUGGUCUAUAUUUCACAGACAAAAAUAUUUUAAAGCCAUCUACAAUAAUUCUGAUAUGCAAUGGCCCAUAAAAUAGGUUGAAUCAUAUUUUGAUACGUAGCCUACAAAGCUCUUUAAGAAAAGUCUAAUUUUAUUUUCCAAGGACACAGAUGGAGAUGAAAUUGAUGAUAUCCCAAUUCUGCUUUGUUUUUUGUGAGAUGUUGAGCAAUUCACUUAUUAGCUAUUUCCACUUUUAUGUUUAUGGAAUAGCAGUGAUAUACUGGUUUAUUAAAAUAUUGAUGUUUAUAAAACAUAUACCUGAAAUAGUAUCAUAUCCUAUAUUAAAAUAUUAUAGUACCAUUUAAAAUAAUAUAUUAAAAAUACACCUAGGUUUCUGACCUAAUGGAAGUUCUUGAAUGAAUAAUGGGAAUAUUGGCAAUGCAGAUCAUCACUGGCUUGGUUAUAAGUGAUGAUAUGAAACAUUUCACUUAAUGGAAGUGAUUAAAAAUGAUAGCAAUUAAACAGAUUUUUGACAGCUGAAAGUUCAAACACAUACCAAACUAUGAAAACACUUUAAUAACAUUUUUUGUAAGAUGAAAAAAUCUGUCAGGGGCAUACAAAUACAUAGGAAGAGUGUUUUGAACAGAGUACAAAAAUGCAACCUUCUUAGGAUGUUAGCACUAAAUGUCAAAAUACCAUGCUGCUAGCUUUUGGUGUUAACUUUUGAAGAUGACAGGUACUAUCCAUACAAUGUUAGAUUUUCAAAUGGUCAUGAAAAAAUUUUGUCACUGCCAAAAGCACAGCUAAAUUAUCAGUUUUCCAAUUUUCUAAAGUACAUGAGGUCUAGUAUAGCACUUUCUUCAGACAGGUUAUUAAAGGGAAGAGAUUAAGUCAGACCUGAAUGAAGCAGGUGUUAGAGUUCGGAUUCCAAUGUCCGUGACCACAGAUGCAGUGUUUGAGGCAACAUGACAAUAUCUGGUAGGAUCUGAGUUAGAACACCAUCUCUGAUCUGAUGGGUGGAAGAACUCCAGUAGUAAUAUCUAGACAACGGUCCCAUUUAACAUCAAAGAAAAUCAUCCAUGUUCAUAAAGAACCUCAGUGAAAGCCAGGCGUAUAGUUAAAGGGCCCUGUCUCUACAAAGAGAAGUUGCAGAUUAACUGGGCAGGCCGAAAGUGUUUUCUAACAAGGAAACCUACAUUGGAAUAUAGAUGUGAACCCAAAGAAGUCUACUACUCAUGAAGAAAAGAUAUAAAAUGUGGCUGUUUUCUCUAGCUGUGUUAAUGUAGCUAGAUGUCUGGGGGGGUUACAUUAAGGGCAUUUACUUUCAUUCUUAACCCUUCUUGAAUAGGAAUAGAUAUUUGAAUGUAGGCCAAACUAAUGUAAUUUCCAACUUUUGUACCAUAUAGAGUUAAAACUUCAAGAUGAAGGACUUCUGUCCUAGCAAUUGGUCAGACUGAAAAGGAAGGGACUGGUUUUAAAAGCCAUUCUCUUCAUUCAGCUAUUUUUAGAGCUAAUUGAAAACUUUCUGAUUAUAUAAAUCUUUACUGUAAGAUAUCAUUCUCCUGGGAGUGUUUAUACCCUAUAUUUCAGAACCGUGUUGGGUAUUUUCUAUUUGCCCUUCUAUUUUUAUUUUAACUUGUUCAAAAUCAUCUCUGUGUCCCAGAAGGCUGACAUCUAGGAACUGGUUCAAUGGACAGCCUUGCUCUCCGGCUUUUGACUGGAAAAAUUGGAAGCUCCUACAACAGUUUAGAAGGCAGGAGGAGAAUGACAUUUGGUAUUCAUUUCCAGUACUAGCUAGUCUAUAACAGUUCCUCUCUUCUUUAUACAUACAUGCCACUUCACAUUAAGAGAUGGAACUUACUUCCGCUGUCCUUGAAUCUGGGCUGGCCUAUGACUAACUUUUAUAAAUAGAAUGCAGCAUAAGGACCUUCUUGGACUUCAAACCCCAGGCUAAGAGAAAUGGAAGCUUCUACUGGCUGCCUCUUGGAAUCAUCUUCUGUGCUGUGAGAAGCUCAAGGUAAAUGGAAGAACCUCAAAAAUGAGAACCAACAAUUUCUAGCUACUUUAAAAAUUAAUUGAUAGCUAUGUGAGCGAGUCAUUGUGGUAGCCAUUCUCCAAUAUGGCACCCAAUGAAAGUCACUUUCCAUUAUUCACAUUCUGUAUGUAGUCCCACACUGCGGCAGUAUUGGUUUGUAUGACCAAUUGAAUACCACAGAGGUGAUGAUAUGUAACUCCCAAUAUUAAAUCAUAAUUGUCCUGUGACUUUCAUCAUGAUGGACUUCUUUCAGAUCACCUGGGAAGCCAGGUGUCGAUGUUAUGAGGACAUUCAGACAGCCUGUGGAGAGGCCUUUGUGGUGAGUAAUUGAGGCUUGCUUACAAAUACAUGGAGUGGAGUAACCAAAUUUCAGAUUAGUGCAAUUCAGUCAAUAUCUUGACUCCAGCAUUAGAAAAAACCCUGAGCCAGAACCACCCAACUAAGCUGCUACCAGAUUCUUAACACAAAAACUGCAAGAUAAUACAUUUUUGUGGUCAUAAGUUAUACUUAGCAGCUUAAUUUAUAUAUACAUGUACAUAUAUGUAUAUAAUGUUAUAUAUUACACAGCAGCAAAUAGCUAAUGCAUCCAUCCUAAGCAUUUGCAGUUCAUUUAAACCACCAGAUGACUGUAGCACUGGCUGAUAUAAAAGGCAGGAGAGAUCAUCUGACCAAGAUUAGCAUAUAGAAUUGUUAAAAGUAAUACAAUGAUUAUUAUUUUAAACCAUCAAACUUUGGAAUGUUUGUUUUGCAGCAAUAGAUAAUCAAAAUAUAAAUUGACACCUAGAAGUAAGGUGCUGGUGAAACAAAAAUCUAAACCAUGUGGCAUUGACUUUGGGUCUAGGCAAUGGGUAUAGGCCAGAAGAGCCUCAAGGAGACAGACAAUGGAGGCUGAAAAGACAGUGAGGAAAUAGUUAUUUGAUCCUGCAGCAAAGGAGAGUUUUUACCCUGUUGUGUAGAGACAGGAUGUUUGACAAUGCUGUAAUUUGUGGCAAUAUGAAAAAUAGAAAAUAUAUCUAAUGAACUUGUAUAUGGUUAAGGAGGUUUCUAGAUGGAAUGUGUGCCAACUUGUUUAUUUUAGGUGUAUAUGAUCUUUAGUAGGGUGAAAUGAACUAAAGAAGAAAGCAUUCAAUUUUCAAGCAGAAUCUAGAGUACAGGUCAGCAAAUAUUUUCUAUAAUGGGCCAAAUAGUAAAUAUUUUAGCCUUUUCAGAUUGCUGAAUGUUGUCUCUAGCAAUUACUCAUCUUUGCAGUUGUAGCAAUAAAGUAGACAUGGAUGAUACGUAAAUGAAUGGGAUUGGCUGUGCUUCAAUAAAAAAGGUUGACUGACAAAGGCUGGUGAUAGUCUGGAUUUGUCCUAUAGGCCAUAGUCAGUUAACAUCUGAUCUAAAGAAACACUUUCAAUUAGGGAUUUGCUAGAGUGGAACAGAAAUUAUUCUCAUAUUUAACCCUUUCAGCCCACAGAAAAAUUUCAGAGUAAAUUAAAACCUGGGGGCAAAGAUCAAAUCCAGGAUACUUCCAGAAAAAACAGAUACAGCAGGAGGAUCACUUCAAGAGUACAUUUGAAAGACUCUUUGUUCAACACUUAGAAAGAUUAAGAAUUUGCUCCUUAGACUCUCUCAGCCAAACAACAGAACUUUUAAGACUCUAAGGGCUUGCCCUGUUGACCUUCUCAGCUAGACAAUAGAGUUUCCUAGAAUCUUAAGGGAGUUCCUUAAGCGCUUUUGGCUAGGAAAAAAAGGGUUUUCAAGAAUCUUAGAGGUAUUGUCCUCAUUCUAAGGCUGAAGUAGAGAGGAGUGUGCCUUCAUAAGUCUGUCUUAAAAUAUGUUGUAGGUAUAUAGGAAGUUCAAAAUUUUCAAUAAAAAUGUUAACAGCUUCGACUAAAAAUGAUAGAGAUAGUUCAGAAUGAAAAAAGACUCCUGUAUUACUAAUCUCUUAUGAAAAGGAUGCAGGCUGAGAAAACUACUUAGCUACAAACAUAUUCUACGUCUUAUGGAAAACUAAGAAUGAUAUAGGAGGCACAGCCGUGGAAAGCCAUUCUCAGGGAGCAGAAAUGAGCCCUAAUGAAGGAUCAUUCUCUGUGCCUGGAGAUGGAGGAAAUGGUGAAAUAUUCUGUUAAAUUUCAGAAUUGCCAUGAACUAGUAUCCUGUUUUGCGUCUCUUGUUUCACCCUUUUAGAAUGAAGGUUUCUAUUGUGGCUGCCAUGUCCCUUCCUCAUUAUUGUAUGACUACUGUUCACAGGGCAGAUA